GAAUAAUUUUCAUUCACAACGAAAAAAUGGUAUGCACUGCGAAAACGUAAACAAUGAUUGUGACAAAAAAAACAACAACAAUCAUGCCCAAUGGCUCGGAUGCAUUCAAGGCUGGCGAUGAGAUUGAAUGCGGCAUGGCCGAGUCUGCCAGCCUGAAGUUGCAAGUGUGUGGCGAAUAAAUGGCGGACGACUGCCAACAUAGAACAAAUAUUUUUGGAUGGAUGUAGUCUGGACGGAUCAUGUAGCUCCAGCACCUUUUCUGGCAACAAAGGCCCCCGCCAAAGCGAACCAAAAAAGUAGACACUUGGAUGGCAGAGAUCGACAGAGAGCGAUUCGAAGAGCAGAAGGACCUUCACAGUAGAGUUGUGUUGCUCAUGAGAUAUUUUGCGAUCUGGCAG
rnacentral:sRNA from 1 species